AGUGAACGCUGGCGGUAGGCCUAACACAUGCAAGUCGAACGGCAGCACAGUAAGAGCUUGCUCUUACGGGUGGCGAGUGGCGGACGGGUGAGGAAUACAUCGGAAUCUACUUUUUCGUGGGGGAUAACGUAGGGAAACUUACGCUAAUACCGCAUACGACCUACGGGUGAAAGCAGGGGAUCUUCGGACCUUGCGCGAUUGAAUGAGCCGAUGUCGGAUUAGCUAGUUGGCGGGGUAAAGGCCCACCAAGGCGACGAUCCGUAGCUGGUCUGAGAGGAUGAUCAGCCACACUGGAACUGAGACACGGUCCAGACUCCUGCGGGAGGCAGCAGUGGGGAAUAUUGGACAAUGGGCGCAAGCCUGAUCCAGCUAUACCGCGUGGGUGAAGAAGGCCUUCGGGUUGUAAAGCCCUUUUGUUGGGAAAGAAAAGCAGCAGGUUAAUACCCCGCUGUUCUGACGGUACCCAAAGAAUAAGCACCGGCUAACUUCGUG
rnacentral:rRNA from 1 species